CCGCUCUUCCUCGGAGAUCCAUACUCGCAGUGCAACGAAUGAGGCCAGCUGUGCGCUGCAGAGGCCGCCCGAGAGGGAAUCCCUCAAAGUCGCCUCUGGUGGGCCGGGUAUUUCAUCCAAACAUUUCUCAAGAACUUUACAAAGAUAAUUAUAUAUAGAAGAAUUGAGGCAAAGUUAUGCAGGAGAACUUAACAGAAAUUAUUUUAUACAGAAGAGUGAUAUAAGCCAGCAAGCCAUCCCUCCAUGACGCACACACAGACAAUGGGCGCACACCUGAAUAACAGAAGCAGAAGUAAUUUAAACAAGCAUGAUGCACACAGCCGUUGAGCCAGACUUUCUACUCACCAAAACCUUUUCUUGUGUUCAGCUUAUCACAGAUCAAUUAUUUCAUUUCACUACUUCAUUCAAUCAUUGCCUUCAAAGACCUUUGUAAUCUUUUCUAGGAUCUAAACCCUUAUGGGAUAGAAACUAGAAAAUAAAUGUUUGCACAAGAAGUAUUUUUCAGUUUCCAUCUCACAAGGGUUUAGGUCCAGAGCAAAAAGUAAAACAAUAAGUGUGUGCAUGGGCAACGUAUACACGAGGAUAUUUUGUGCAUGUGUUGCUAAGCCCUAGAAUAUUUGGAAAGGAUCAGAAAAUUGAGUUUAGGCUCCAACAUACUCAGUCUGCGCACCCUUGGUGCAAUUUCUCUCAUCCUACUACUUCUUCAGUGUCUUCUGCCUCUACUCUAAUGAAACAAGAGUUGUUUCUGCAAUAAGGUUAGCCAGUGGAGGGGACAAGGAACCAGAAUAAUGGCCUUUUCUUGGUUAUGUUCACACUAAGUCCUGAAAACAAUAUCUUUUAUGAGUUCCUUUAGAGGAAAUGCCUUCAACCAUGGGGGAAUACAGAGAACAGUAUCCUUAUAGCAAACACUGACAGAAUAAAUGGUGAGAGACAAGGUCAUCAUUCCCCAAAAUUUCAGUAGCAAAUAAAUAACUUUUUUCUUUUGAA